rnacentral:rRNA from 1 species
UGCUUCUUGGUAUUUUUAUAAGAAGUAAUAUCUGCCCACUGAUGAAUUUAACGGCCGCAGUAACUUGACUGUGCGAAGGUAGCAUAAUCAAUAGUCUUUUAAUUGAAGUCUGGAAUGAAUGAUUUAAUGAAAGAGUAGCUGUUUUUUAAGAAAUUAAUGAAUUUUUAUGUUAGGUGAAGAUACUUAAAUGUAUAUAAAAGACGAGAAGACCCCGUCAAGUUUUACUUUAAAUUUAGCUAAAAGUUAAAAUUAGUGUUAGGGUUAAGGUUUAAUUGGGGCGAUUAUAAGAUAAGGAAAACUCUUAAUUUGAUAAAAUAUUAACUUGUAAAUAUUAAUAUGAUCCAUAUUUUUGAUUUCUGGAAAAAAUUACUGCGGGGAUAACAGCGUAAUGUUAUUUUAGAGUUCUUAUCGAUAAUAAAGUUUGCGACCUCGAUGUUGGAUUAAGAAUCCUUUUAGGUGUAGAAGCUUAGUAAGGUGGUCUGUUCGACCAUUAAAUUCUUACA